AAAAUGCGAUAAGUAAUGUGAAUUGCAGAAUUCAGUGAAUCAUCGAAUCUUUGAACGCACAUUGCGCCCGCCAGUAUUCUGGCGGGCAUGCCUGUCCGAGCGUCAUUUCAACCAUCAAGCCCCCGGGCUUGUGUUGGGGACCUGCGGCUGCCCGCAGGCCCUGAAAACCAGUGGCGGGCUCGCUGUCACACCGAGCGUAGUAGCAAUCACCUCGCUCAGGGCGUGCUGCGGGUUCCGGCCGUUAAACAGCCUUACAAAACCCAAGGUUGACCUCGGAUCAGGCAGGAAGACCCGCUGAACUUAAGC
rnacentral:misc_RNA from 1 species